AUUGGUUGAAACGAGCAUCUUCACUGCCAGAAAAUGAGAGUUCCAGUGAAACAUUAAAGGAUCAUAGUUAUCACAGUUCAAGUGAAGUUACGAUCAGGUCCGCUUGAUGUUGCACCAGAUAAGGUUGCUGUCAUUGAGUUGCUGUUUUUCUUCUACCAUCAGAGUUGUAGUUUCAUUGCAUCCUGCUGGUUCUAUUGACCCAGAUGCAGUGGCUUUCUUUUCUCCAGAUGAGCAAGUGUGGACGGCUGCUUACAAUGGACCUGAAAUCAGCUCUACUGUUACCUCCAGUUUGUCGUUCUUAUUGGCAGUUCACCACAUCGAAUGCGUCAUCAAAUUUGAAUGUUUCCGGGGCUUACCAUGUGGGUUGUUUCUCAGAGGAAUUGUGAUCUCGACUGAUGACAGGUAAAAGCUGUCCAUUGUCUCGGAUAUGGAAUUGGCAAGAUAAAGAAAUUAUAACACGUCAUUCAAAGAACCCCCACUAGAAUGUUGAAUUUUACAUCUUUUCCUAAUUUGCUUGAAAGCUACUGGGACAUGAACUUUUCUUUUAUGUUAUUUUUGUAUUAUUUCA